GUCUAUGGCCAUACUACCCUGAAUGUGUCCAAUCUUGUCUGAUAUCAGAAGCUAAGCAUGGUUGGGCCUGGUUAGUACUUGGGUGGGAGAAAAUACUUUGAGAUGAAUGACA
rnacentral:rRNA from 1 species